rnacentral:rRNA from 1 species
AUUGAACGCUGGCGGCAGGCUUAACACAUGCAAGUCGAGCGGAGAUGAGGUGCUUGCACCUUAUCUUAGCGGCGGACGGGUGAGUAAUGCUUAGGAAUCUGCCUAUUAGUGGGGGACAACAUUCCGAAAGGAAUGCUAAUACCGCAUACGUCCUACGGGAGAAAGCAGGGGAUCUUCGGACCUUGCGCUAAUAGAUGAGCCUAAGUCGGAUUAGCUAGUUGGUGGGGUAAAGGCCUACCAAGGCGACGAUCUGUAGCGGGUCUGAGAGGAUGAGCCGCCAAACUGGGACUGGGACACGGCCCAGACUCCUACGGGAGGCAGCAGUGGGGAAUAUUGGACAAUGGGGGGAACCCUGAUCCAGCCAUGCCGCGUGUGUGAAGAAGGCCUUAUGGUUGUAAAGCACUUUAAGCGAGGAGGAGGCUACUGAGACUAAUACUCUUGGAUAGUGGACGUUACUCGCAGAAUAAGCACCGGCUAACUCUGUGCCAGCAGCCGCCGUAAGAC